rnacentral:rRNA from 1 species
UACGUAGGAUGCGAGCGUUGUCCGGAAUUAUUGGGCGUAAAGGGCGCGUAGGCGGUUUGCUAAGUCAGUUGUGAAAGCCCGGGGCUCAACCCCGGAGGGUCGGCUGAUACUGGUGGACUAGAGUACGGAAGAGGUAGCUGGAAUUCCCGGUGUAGCGGUGAGAUGCGUAGAUAUCGGGAGGAACACCUGAGGCGAAGGCGGGCUACUGGGCCGAUACUGACGCUGAGGCGCGAAAGCCGGGGAGCAAACGGGG